AGGCCUGGUGGUCCAGGAUCCAGUGCUGCUCCCCAUGUGCCCAUCUCACCUGCUGCUCGGCACCAGCAGCCAUCACCACUCCACUUCUCUCAAGAGACAGAGUCUUGCUCUAUCCCCCAGGUGGGAGUGCAGUGGCAUGAUCUUGGCUCACUGCAACCUCCCCCUCCUGGGUUCAAGUGGUUCUCCUGCCUCAGCCUCUCGAGCAUCUGGGAUUACAGAUGGAGGAAGGAGGUCCCAAGCCAAGGAAUGCAGCAUGGGCCUCUAGAAGCUGGAAUGACCCUCACCUCACGGCCAGCAAGAAAUCAGGGAACUCAGUCUUACCCGAGUGAGCAGGAAAUCGAUUCUCCUCUGCAGCCUCUAUAGAGAACACAGCCUGUCAACACCCUGAUUUUGGCCCAAUGAGCCCUGUACCUCCAGAAGUGUAACGUAAUAAAUUUGUGUUGUUUUAAGCUA
rnacentral:lncRNA from 1 species